CCUACGGGAGGCAGCAGUGAGGAAUAUUGGUCAAUGGACGAGAGUCUGAACCAGCCAAGUAGCGUGAAGGAUGACUGCCCUAUGGGUUGUAAACUUCUUUUAUAAAGGAAUAAAACGAGGCACGUGUGCCUUUUUUCAUGUACUUUAUGAAUAAGGAUCGGCUAACUCCGUGCCAGCAGCCGCGGUAAUACGGAGGAUCCGAGCGUUAUCCGGAUUUAUUGGGUUUAAAGGGAGCGUAGAUGGGUUGUUAAGUCAGUUGUGAAAGUUUGCGGCUCAACCGUAAAAUUGCAAUUGAUACUGGCAGUCUUGAGUACAGUUGAGGUAGGCGGAAUUCGUGGUGUAGCGGUGAAAUGCUGAGAUAUCACGAAGAACCCCGAUUGCGAAGGCAGCUUACUAAACUGUGACUGACAUUGAUGCUCGAAAGUGUGGGUAUCAAACAGGAUUAGAUACCCCUGUAGUC
rnacentral:rRNA from 1 species